CCAACUUUGAGCCUAAGAUACAGCAGUAAACAAAUGGAUAAAGUCCCUGUCCUCAUGAAACUUGUAUUCUAAUGGAAGAAACAGAAAACAAACAGAUAUAGGAUGUAAUAUCAGGUAGGGAUAAAUACUUUGAAUUCAAACAAAAGUAUACGUAGUCAGGGUUCGCCAAAGAGACACAGCCAAUCGGAUACAUAGAUAUAUAAAAGAGGGUUUAUGAGUUAGAAAGGGCUCACAUGAUUACAGAGGCUGAGAAGUCCCACAGCAGAUUGUCUGCAAGCUGGAGACCCAGGGAUACUGGUAGCAUGGCUCAGUCCAAGUCCCAAAGCCUCAGAAUCAGGAAAGCUGAUGAUAUAAUUCUUAGCCCAAAGGCCUUAGAACCCCAGCGGUGACGGAAAGGCUGAUGUAGGUCCUGGAGUCCUGAGACCCAACAGCCUGGGAUCCUGAAAUCCAAGGGCAGGAAUGGAAGCGUGUAUUCCAGCUCCAAGAGAGUAAGACCAAUUUGCCUUUCUUCCGUUUUUGUUUCAAGCCACCUGCACAUUGAGGGCGGAUGGUUCCCUCUUAGUCCAUUCAGUCAUAUAUCAAUCUCUUCUGGAAAUACCCUCACAGACACACUAACAAAUAAUGCCUUUCCAGUUCUCUAGGUAUUCUUUAAUCCAGUCAAGCUGACACCUAAAAUUAACCAUCACAAAAGUUAAGGAGAAAGAAGACAACUUGUAGGGGAGGCUGCUAUGCAAGACAGUGUGUGAAGGAAGGGCUCUCUGAAGAGGUUAAUAUCUGAGCAGAGACUUGAAUGAAGUGAAGAAGUGAGCCAUGUGGGUAUGGGGAAUACAACUUCCAGGUAGAGAAGACAAGUGUGGUGUGUAUCAGGGUCAGCAAAGAAGCCAUGUGACAGAGAAGGGUGGGCCAGGGAGAGACGGAUAAGUGAUCUAACUCCUGAGGAGGUG
rnacentral:lncRNA from 10 species